CUGUCUGACUGCAUAAGCUAAUAUUUUCUCUGGGUAUAGAAAGGACUUUCAUUACUGAAGAUACUUCCAAACACUGGACUCACAGAAGUUCUCUCGGAAGUUCCAUUUCAAUCUUUGGAAAAUUCCUAAUAAGUUAUUGAGUGUGUUUUAAAAUCAGACCAUGCUUUGCUUCUCUUUGAUGUCAGUUGUGUGAUUCUAAAAAAAGGAUGGAAAG